UUUUGCCUACGGGGGGCAGCAGUGAGGAAUAUUGGUCAAUGGCCGGAAGGCUGAACCAGCCAAGCCGCGUGAGGGAGGAAGGCGCAGAGCGUCGCAGACCUCUUUUGCCGGGGGACAAAAGGCCGGACUCGUCCGGUCCUGAGGGUACCCGGAGAAAAAGCAUCGGCUAACUCCGUGCCAGCAGCCGCGGUAAUACGGAGGAUGCGAGCGUUAUCCGGAUUCAUUGGGUUUAAAGGGUGCGUAGGCGGAAGGUUAAGUCAGCGGUCAAAUGUCGGUG
rnacentral:rRNA from 1 species